rnacentral:lncRNA from 1 species
UAUCAGUGGUGCCCCAAUUGCCAGGCCGCUUUUCUUCACAUUCCCAACUUUCUCCAAGUGUUAUGAGGUGAGCACCCAGUUCUUGCUAGGUAGCGGUGUCUUGGUGUCUCCAGUGCUUGACAAGGGGAAAACCAAGGUCAAUGCUCUCUUUCCUCCUGGUACCUGGUACAGUUUAUUUGAUUUGAAGGAGACCAUUGUAUCAGAGGGUGACUACCGUUCUCUAGAUGCACCAUUACAUGUGAUCAAUGUUCAUGUGUACCAAAAUACCAUACUCCCAAUGCAGCAGGGUGGACUGAUUUCGAAGGAAGCCAGGAUGACACCCUUCACUCUCAUUGUAACCUUCCCAGCAGGAGCAACUGAGGGACAUGCUGAAGGGAAACUCUACCUUGAUGAUGAUGAGCUCCCUGAAAUGACUCUUGGAAAUGGAUUUUCCACAUAUGUUGAUUUACAUGCAACUGUGGAGAAUAAAAUGGUGAAGGUAUGGUCAGAUGUUGCGGAGGGCAAAUAUGCUUUGGAGAAGGGUUGGACCAUAGAGAAGAUAACAGUGUUGGGAUUGAGUGGAAGCGGAGAGUCAUUUGCUCUCGAGGUUGAUGGAAGUUCAGUGUCAGAUGUCUCCCAUGUACAGCUUACUGCAUCUGAACAGCAUGUAGCCACUGAUAAGUUAGAAGAUGAAGGAGAUACGAGGAAGAGCAUGAUGAUAGAAAUUCAGGGAUUGGACCUGCCAGUAGGGAAAAACUUUGCCAUGUCCUGGAAAAUGGGCGUCCAUGGUUAAGGUCCCUGCCUUUUUAGAUUUGCUUGUUUAGUAUUUUUCCUUUUUUUUUUUUUGUUUUCAAAUUUUCUUUCUUCAAUUGUUGAUGCUUUUGGUGCUUCACAUUUGUGUUGCUGGAGAUGAGAUGGGCGAAGAAUGCUCUCCAUUUCCCAUGCACACAAGCAGGGAUGAUGAGGACUUGACUCUCUUGCUUUGCUUUAGGCUUUCUUUGAAUCUCUAGGCUUGUAGCUUCAAUUGGCUUCAAUGCAGUUUUAUAAUGUUAUGAAUCUUUGAGAUCUAUCUUGCCUUCUUCACACUUUUGUUGAAGUUUGUUCUCGGUUUGGUAAAUUUUUUCAUUAAAAAUCUCAGCCACAUUUUUGAGGAAACAUUGUCAAAAUUUUCAACAUAAAUGGGCUUUUGUGUUGGUCUAAAUUUGGUUUAUCAGAACCAAACUCAAUGGGCCUCUCAUGCUUGGGCUUCAACCAACUUAUAAGUCGCAAGCCCAUUGCAAUGGACCCUUGAAGAAAUGAGCUAAUAUUAAAGGUUCCAAAGGUGUUAAUAAUGCCAAAGAGUUAAAUUACCUACUGGGCCAAACUCGAUAACAUUUUGGGUCAAGCCGAAUUUACUUGGGCCUAAUCUGACAUGGGCCCAGCCCAUGCAAUCCAUAAUUUCUUAUGUUAAUUAUGAAACGAGCCGGAAAGUUGUGCUUCAGGCAAGCGGUUUAACUAGGAGUUUUUUAUUUUUAGAAUUAACUUUUUGAAAGAUAUAAAAAAAAUAAAAAAACAUGGAUGUUAAUUACUAUAAAAAAGAAUCUUAAAAUGUGACCUCGAUUAUAAAAAUUAAAACUGAAAAAUAUUUACAUUGUCUCAUUGUAAAAACAGUACAGGUGGGGCCCAUCCAAUCACCAUCUUGAAAGUCAACUUCCUAUGAAUUAAGAAGUAAGUAUUAAAAGUUUAAACUGUUAUUUUAAUCCAAGUGGGAUAAUGCAGUAAAAAUGUACAUUAAAGUAAUUUCACUAAAACCUGAAACGUUUUUAGAACUAAAGCAAAUCACAUCUGCGUUAACAUCCUUGAUUAAUAUCGGUCAAAUGAAUAAUUAAAUACCUUUUAUUAGACAUAUAAAUACUUCAAGCUCAUUAUUAUCAACAUUUUGUUUUCAAAACAACAUAUAGAAUUGAAGGGGGGAAAACUAAAUGGGAGAAACUAAAUGCUAUCACUCGCCCCAAAAAGAAACAUCUCGUUAUCUACGCUGACAUCUGACGUGUCAGAGUGCAGGACACGUCAUCGGUAGUCCUCCCACACAAAAGCCAAAAAAAAAAAAAAAAAAGGAAAAUUACACCGUGGGCAGCUUCGGCGCAAUUACAGUGACCCCACCUCAGACAUUUUCAUUUUCAUUUGUAUGGUCCUCUGCUCAUCAAUACCCCCACCAGUUGGUCGACACUUGUCUCUCCCCCACUUACGUGUCACGCUCUCCCUCGCUGUAGGCCCAGAACCUGGGUGUUUGGCGGGAAAAAUAGGGCGGUGCAUUCCACGUCAGCGCUUUUGGCGGGAAAUCGAAGCGACCCGAUCGGUCCACUCACCUCUAGUGGCGUAACCCACUCGGCUUUCUCGAUGGUCAAUAUUUUUAUGCAUGACCUCAGCGAAUUUUCAUGUAUGCAUGGACGGAUUUGCCAUGGAGAUCAUGGGUCAUGGCCAUCACCCAUGGGUGUAAGUCACGUGACCCACGAUCAUAAUAAAUAUCUUCCAGACAGGGACUCCCACUCUCGCUGCCAUUCAUAUACCUACUUGCUGUACGGAAAUGUUGGGAUGUGGGACAGCUUUAGUGCUACUUUGCUGAGCUGGCGAAUUGCCAACCGUUGGUUCUACAUGUCUUCGAGUCAAGCAAACAUGAUCACGUGCAGGGUCUGCUCUUCAUAAAACUUCUCCCACUUUAGAACUUUAAGCAAUUAAUUUAAGCCGAUGCCCUCCAAACUUCCUUUCCUCUCGUGCGACCAAAUUAUUACUUAUUACUGCCAUAUGAUAUAAAGAUUGAUUCAGCAUCUUUUUCAAAACAUAUGAAAAUUGCUCUACUUUUUUUUAUCCCCAAAUUGUUCACAGUUUUAAAAUAUUCUAUGUGAGAUACCCAAAACGAAAACUCAUAGAUAUGUCCAUCGAUGAUUACGGAUAUACCAAACAUAUUAGAGAUAUAUAUGAGACAUAUCGAAUAUAUGGGAUCCCGAAUCUGGGAUAUAUAGGUGAAUAUUUUGAAAAAAUAUAUCGAAUAAUCUAAAAUUGAUCAAAAUUUAUAAAAAUAUAAGAAAAUUUUUAUAAAAAUGUAAUUAAAAGUAUAAUAGAUAUUUUAAACUUAUUUUAUUGAAGAAUUUGAUAUGUAUAUGAUAUGAUUUAUCAUAUUUGAUAAUAAUAUUAUAUACAUCGAUAAAAAUGGUCUUUUAUAAGUGUAUAUUUAUUAUUAAAUAUAUCAAAUAUUAUUUCAUAAUAAUAUUGUGAUACUUUAUUAUAAUAUAUUUAAUAUUAAAAUUAUAAUAUAUUUAAUUUAAUUAUAUUAAGUGACAUAAAGUAAAUGAUGAUAUAUGUAUAAUUUUAUAAUAUUUAAUUAAUCUAUUAAUAAUAUUAAAAACACUAUCAAGAAAAUUAUGAUAAUAAUUUUUAUAUUUUUUUGUAAUUAAUUAAAUAAAAUAAUUUCCAUUUAAUCAUAUAUUGGUGAAAUAUAAUUACAAAGGAGUAAACUUUCUCAGGUUAUAAAAAUCGAAGGUAGACAUUUUUGAGCUUGAUUGGAGUAGAUGUUGUUUUUGGGGAGCUUUGAUUGGAUUAGGGGGGUGCCCAUUUUUUUUUGUUGGAGAGCUUUGAUUGGAGUGGUUGGAACGGGUGCUGUUUUUGAGAGGUUUGACUGGAGCAGGGAGCGUCAAUUUUUUUUUUUUGGAAAAAUUGACAAAAAAAACUUCGAAAAAUCGACAAUAAAUUGCUAUCUCAAUUGAUUUUCCAAAUAAAUGGUUGUCACUGAAAUUUUGACGAUUUUUGGUCGGAAUUUAGCGAUUUUUUUUCGUCUCUUUGACAUAUCAACCUCCAUUUUGCUUCAUCGAUUGUUGAAACCCAAAAUUUCAUAAAAAAGAUGAAAUUUCAUCCCUACUCCUUUUGUACACAUCUUUUUACUCUUUUCGAGUAUAUAGUAAAGUAUUUACUAAUAUCAAGAACUUAAGAUGUGUUGAGGCCAAUAGAUAAUGGAUUUACCUUACUUUAGCUUGUUACUCAUCUAUUCAUCUUGUUUUAAGGUGAGCCGUUGAGUUUAGAUAAAUGUAACAUGGUCGGUCUUGGAAAAUUAUGCUUCUCUUAUUAUUGUAUAUAAUUUUGGACCGUGAUGUGCCGUGUGUGGGCUUAUCAUAUUACUAAUUAAAAAUCUAAAUGACUCAUUAACUAAUACAUGUGAAUACGAAUCCACAACCCAAAGGCAUUUACCAAUCAGGGUUAAUCCAACAUGGUUGAGUGAUUAGUUAUAAAAACACUAUUAAUCCCACCACAUGAGCUUUAUAGGAACUACUUAAAGAUAGAAGGUGAAUAGUAUUAAGAGAAAGUCUUUGAUAGCAUAACAUGGUAUAAUGAACUAAAGUUUCAUUAAUAAAUUUAUUUAUUAUGAUUAUGAUUCCAUUUUCCAUCCUUAUGAGCAUUAAUUAUUAUUUGAGCAUUCAAGUCAUUAUUACUCGUAUUAUAUGUGAUUUUGGUACAUUAUGAGUUGUAUAGAAAAUCCAAGUUGUGGGUUAUUUGCAAAAUAAUAAGUAGUUUACAAUUGAUUAAAAAUUUUGAGUAAUUUAUCGAAAAUUGCAGUGUGUAUAGUAUAUUAGUGUGUAUAGUUACAUAUUAGAUAGGACUUACAGUGAAUCAUGACACUAAUUAUCAAGGAAUUGAGAUUCACUAAGCUACUAUGGUUGCAUAGGUUUGAGAUAAUGUGUCAUCUUUAAUAAUCCUAAGGACACAUGAUUAGGAAAAUUAUAGUUGUAAUUUUUUAACUGAAAUUUGACAUAUACUCUUGAAGAGAUAGAUUAUGUUAGUUGAUUAUAUAAUAGAAAAUUUGAAACUUAAAUAUUGGAAAAGUACUCUUAAGAAGUUUAUAGUAUAUAUCUUGAUAGAUUACAAACAUCGAUUCAUGGGAAGUUUAUAUGAAAUGGAUAACAAGUCACAAACUUUAAUUUAUAUCUCGUUCUAGUAUCAUAGGAUACUAAAGCGUAGUUGAUUCUGUAUUGCGAUGUUGAGUCAUAUUCAUAAUUGGAUUAUGAGAGAACUAGUAUUUUCUCUUAGGUCUCAAUAAUCCUUGCUCGAACUCAUAUUACUUAGUGACACUUUUAUUAAAGGACUUUUGGGUUUUUUUUAUUCAUGUGGGUAUAAGAGUGUGUUGGUAAAAGUGCAAUAUUAUACAAUCACUUAUGAAUAGUUUUUUUAGAUUAGGUUAAUUAAUUAAAAACUAAUAAGACUAAUUAAUUAAUUAUGACCUAAAUGAAUUAUGUUAAAUGACUUAAACCUAAUAUAGACUCAAGUCACUUACACUUACAGGGAAGUCAAUAUAAACCCCCUUAGAGGUUAGGACUUCCAAGACACUUUGAUAUUCAGUCUUCUGCUUGGUGGCACUAUUUGAUUUUCGAGAUUUAUGAUACCUAUGAUAUAUGUUCUUUGGAUUAGAUUUGAUAUUGGAUAUCCAGAUCACACGUACGACCUUCUCUUCUUUAGAUCAAAGUUUUUAAAUGGUAAUGCUUCCAUUGUGCAUAGAUGUAGAGAAGUCUACGAUUCCAUAACAAUCCAAGGAUGGGAAUGAAUAUAUUUAGGUAUUCCCAACAAAUAGAUAGUUUAAGCAAAUCAUUUUGAGUUUUAACUUUAUUUAGAUUUUACUGAUAUCAAUCAUCCUUAAUGAAUGCAAUGAGUAAAAUCUAACUAUUCCACACAAGAACACCAAAUAUAACAUGGAAAAACUACCUAAAUAGUUUAUCCGUAACUCUAUAGAUCUAAAAAAUCACAAGUUGAAUGAUCGCAAAUAAAUCCAUUACAUAUGAAAAUAAUAUAUAUCGAAUCCCAUAGUCUUAGACCGUGUGAUAAUCAAUACAAUCUUUCACAUCCUUGAUUUAGCUCUUCAUGCUUCUUAGCUUAUUCCUUAAUUAUAUGUUGACACUAGUGGAUCAAUACCUUAUAUUUGCCAAAAAAAAUAAAAAUAAAUAAAGAUUGUGCUUGAAAGUUUGAGCAAUGAAGAACGAAGGUUAUAAGGGUGGCUAUGUUCUCAUGUUUCAAAUAAAACUAAAUAAAAUAUUCUAUUUAUAUAAAAAAAUAUAGGAAUUUGGAAAGUAAUUUUAAAUUUAAUUUUACAAAAUCACCCUUAAACAUAUGAAAAAUGAGUUUAACAUGUGUAAAACAAGCUUAAAAACAUAAAUAGGAGGGUCAAACAUUUGAAUGCCCUUCAGGGUAGGUUUGGACACUUCUUUGGUUCAUUCAAAUGUCUUGGUUCCCUUUUGUGCUCUCAACUUUCUUUCUUUUUUUUUUUUUUUUUCUUUUUCUUGUUUGUGGUUUCUUCACAAUGUACACCUGGUAAUCAUGCCUUUUAGAAAAAUGAGUCAUGGAAUACCUUGAAGUUGAAUGAUACUGAUAAGACCUUUAUAGGUAAGACGCAUUGGAUGUAGUGUGUAUUGUCAACCUAGACAAACACAUCAACAAUUACCUUUUUGAUAAUUUUGUGAAAAAAAUAAAAUAAUACAAUAAGGUUUCCCAAUUUCUUAUAAAAAUUUCAUUGAUCCUAAAUAUAAAAUUAUCUUAAUUAUCAUCUAUCAUCAAUAUUUUCUACCUGUAAUUUCAUUGAUAUUUGGAAACAAAAAAAAGUAAGAGUGAAGAAAUAGAUAAAAAAUAGUAAAAUAUAUCUAUGGACAAAAUCACUCCCUUUUUUACCUAAUAGGUCAAAAUACCUGUGCGGAGAGUUAAGAAAGCAAAUAAAGUGAGAAUAAAGCAAUAAGUAUUAGAAAUACGUCACUUUCUCCCCUAUUUAGUACAUCAAAGUAUAGAAAUCAUUAAUCUAUAUUCAAUUAAAAAUAUGUGUGAUAAUUAUUUUAGAAGCUAUUUCUAUCAUCUUUAAUAUUUAAAAGAUAAAUUUUUUUAAAUAUUAUAAAUAUUAGAAUCACUUCCUAAAAUUAUUAUAAAACAAAUGGACCUAGGUAAGUCUUAAUUGAAAUACCACUCACAACUUGAAUACAAUAUGUCACACAUUCUUAAUCUAGAUUCUUGUCACUAUUGAUCCUUAAUUAACUUGGGUGAAUGGAUGCAGUGCUCAUAACAAUUGUGUCAAUUGAUCGAAUAACAUAUUAUAAGAGAUCGUGGAUUGAAUGAUCAACAAAAGAAGGUUGAUGUAGAGCUUAUAAUACAAGUACCGUGAAAUUACGAUGCAAUAUCGUAACUUAAUUUUCUUUUUUUAGUAAUCAUUAACAUUGCAUUUCUUUUAUUGUUAUAAUAUUUUUUUGAUAGUUAUAUUGUGAAUUAAACUGAUUAAAAAUUAUGAAGUUAAUAUAAUAACAAAUAUAACAUUUUUCUAUUUCAUUAUAAGACUUAGAAAAUAAUAUGUAAUAUCAUUAUAUUCUAUUAAUAUUUCAUAAAUGUAACUAUUAAAAAGUAAAAAAAAAAAAAAGAGAGAUAUAUUUGAUUAUUUACCUCUUAGACAAAAAAAAAAAAAAAUUGACCCCGAAGCCAGUCAUAAGUUUCCUUUUGACCUUUGGAUGAAAAAUAAGAGGGAAAGGGUAAUGAUGAAUGGAGUUUGACCUACUAACUUGCAUUGAGUGUCCCAUUUUUCACGCGGGGUCUCUUUCAUCCUAUUUAUUUGAAUAAUACCUCAAAGUCAUUAUCAUAUAAUAUCAAUUAAAUAUUGUCACGCGGGCUAUGCCAUUCAGAGAUGAAAGAAAUACGCUGAAAUAAGAUGAUCAAUGAGGAAGUAAUAUUGUCAAAAAAAGAAAAAGACACUGGUCAACUCCUAUGGAACAGAGUUUGAGCUGAAGAUUCUACAACCACCCACUUGACAAAAAAUAUGGAUUUAUUUUUAUUUUUUCAUGUUUUUGUUAAAGAGGAGAAUAAACUAUACGUGGUUGGUGCGGAGGGAAGUCAGCCAUUGGAACCUUCAACAAAAGUCGUAGUUCUCUGUUUUAUAUAAUUGCGCUUAGGCACCCACCACCUUGAAAUGGAGAGC